rnacentral:rRNA from 1 species
UACGGGGGGAGCAAGCGUUGUUCGGAUUUACUGGGCGUAAAGGGCGCGUAGGCGGCCACCGCAAGUCGACUGUGAAAUCUCCGGGCUUAACCCGGAAAGGUCAGCCGAUACUGCGGGGCUAGAGUGCAGAAGGGGCAACUGGAAUUCUCGGUGUAGCGGUGAAAUGCGCAGAUAUCAGGAGGAACACCGGUGGCGAAGGCGACAUCCUGGACCGGCAUUGACGCUGAGGCGCGAAAGCCAGGGGAGCAAACGGG